GACGAACGCUGGCGGCGUGCUUAACACAUGCAAGUCGAACGAUGAACCCGGAGCUUGCUCUGGGGGAUUAGUGGCGAACGGGUGAGUAACACGUGAGUAACCUGCCCUGGACUCUGGGAUAAGCGUUGGAAACGACGUCUAAUACCGGAUAGGACCUUGGAUCGCAUGAUCUGGGGUGGAAAGUUUUUUCGGUCUGGGAUGGACUCGCGGCCUAUCAGCUUGUUGGUGAGGUAAUGGCUCACCAAGGCGUCGACGGGUAGCCGGCCUGAGAGGGUGACCGGACACACUGAGGCUGAGACACGGCCGAGACUCCUUCGGGAGGCAGCAAAGGGGAAUAUUGCACAAUGGGCAACAGCCCGAUGGAACAACGCCGCGUGCGGGAUGACAGCCUUCGGGUUGGAAAGCGCUUUUAGUAGGGAAGAAAGGCUGCGACUUGACGGUACCUGCAGAAAAAGGACCGGCUAACUACGUG
rnacentral:rRNA from 1 species